UCUGGCGUCAGGAUGAAGCCAGCGACAGGCUAACACAUGCAAGCAGGGGCAGCAUAAAGUAGCAAUACUUGGUGGCGACCGGCGCACGGGUGAGUAACGCGUAUGCAACCUACCUAUCAGAGGGGAAUAACCCGGCGAAAGUCGGACUAAUACCGCAUAAAACAGGGACACCGCAUGGUGAUAUUUGUUAAAGAAAUUCGCUGAUAGAUGGGCAUGCGUUCCAUUAGGUAGUUGGUGGGGUAACGGCUCACCAAGCCGACGAUGGAUAGGGGAACUGAGAGGUUGGUCCCCCACACUGGUACUGAGACACGGACCAGACUCCUACGGGAGGCAGCAGUGAGGAAUAUUGGUCAAUGGGCGAGAGCCUGAACCAGCCAAGUCGCGUGAAGGAAGAAGGAUCUAUGGUUCGUAAACUUCUUUUGCAGGGGAAUAAAGUGCAGGACGUGUCCUGUUUUGUAUCGUACCCUGAGAAUAAGGAUCGGCUACUCCGUGCCAGCCGCCGC
rnacentral:rRNA from 1 species